UGAUCCUGGCUCAGGAUGAACGCUAGCUACAGGCUUAACACAUGCAAGUCGAGGGGCAGCGGGAUUGAAGCUUGCUUCAAUUGCCGGCGACCGGCGCACGGGUGAGUAACGCGUAUCCAACCUUCCGUACACUCAGGGAUAGCCUUUCGAAAGAAAGAUUAAUACCUGAUGGUAUGAUGAGAUUGCAUGAUAGCAUCAUUAAAGAUUUAUCGGUGUACGAUGGGGAUGCGUUCCAUUAGGUAGUAGGCGGGGUAACGGCCCACCUAGCCAACGAUGGAUAGGGGUUCUGAGAGGAAGGUCCCCCACAUUGGAACUGAGACACGGUCCAAACUCCUACGGGAGGCAGCAGUGAGGAAUAUUGGUCAAUGGACGAGAGUCUGAACCAGCCAAGUAGCGUGAAGGAUGAAGGUCCUACGGAUUGUAAACUUCUUUUAUAAGGGAAUAAACCCUCCCACGUGUGGGAGCUUGUAUGUACCUUAUGAAUAAGCAUCGGCUAACUCCGUGCCAGCAGCCGCGGUAAUACGGAGGAUGCGAGCGUUAUCCGGAUUUAUUGGGUUUAAAGGGAGCGCAGACGGGUCGUUAAGUCAGCUGUGAAAGUUUGGGGCUCAACCUUAAAAUUGCAGUUGAUACUGGCGUCCUUGAGUGCGGUUGAGGUGUGCGGAAUUCGUGGUGUAGCGGUGAAAUGCUUAGAUAUCACGAAGAACUCCGAUUGCGAAGGCAGCACACUAAUCCGUAACUGACGUUCAUGCUCGAAAGUGUGGGUAUCAAACAGGAUUAGAUACCCUGGUAGUCCACACGGUAAACGAUGGAUACUCGCUGUUGGCGAUAUACUGUCAGCGGCUUAGCGAAAGCGUUAAGUAUCCCACCUGGGGAGUACGCCGGCAACGGUGAAACUCAAAUGAAUUGACGGAAGGGCGAAUUCC
rnacentral:rRNA from 1 species